rnacentral:hammerhead_ribozyme from 1 species
GUCUAGCUGACGAGUUCCAAAUAGGACGAAACGCGUGUCCUAGAU